UUCGCCAGGGAACAACGAGCUCCGGCUUAAAACCCAAAGGACUUGGCGGUGCUUUAGACCCCCCUAGAGGAGCCUGUUCUAGAACCGAUACUCCCCGUUCAACCUCACCCUCUCUUGUUUUCCCCGCCUAUAUACCGCCGUCGUCAGCUUACCCUGUGAAGGUAAAACAGUAAGCAGAAUUGGCAUAGCCUAAAACGUCAGGUCGAGGUGUAGCGUACGAGAGGGGAAGAAAUGGGCUACAUUUACUCUGCUCAGUAAAUACGGAUGUUGUACUGAAAACCCAUCUGAAGGAGGAUUUAGCAGUAAGGAGGGAAUAGAGCGCCCCCCUGAAAAUGGCCCUGAAGCGCGCACACACCGCCCGUCACUCUCCCCACUCCUUGGUAUCCCAUAACUAAUACCUGCAAACCAUAAUAAAUAGGGGAGGCAAGUCGUAACAUGGUAAGUGUACUGGAAGGUGCACUUGGAAAAACC
rnacentral:rRNA from 1 species